CUCCCAGCCUCGAACCCCGCGUCGCCGCGACCUCCAUCCCCCCCGCGGUCCGCCUCAUCUCCUCUCCCUCUAAUCUCGUCGCGCCGCCGCCUUUUCCUCUCUCCAUCCCCGUCCCUGCCACGAGCCCCUCCCCUUCCCCGUCCCGACGGCCUCAUCCUCUGCUGCUCUCCUUGUUGGGUGUUGCUCCAGAUCGCGGGAGACGAUCUGCAGCCGGGUCUGCGCAGUUGAGGUGAGGAACGGAAGUGGGGGAAGGAGUAGCGAUGCUGGUGUCAGGGGACGGAGGUGAGGGAAGGAGCAGCAAGGGGCCACCUCAUGCCCCGUAGUCCGCUCCUCCUUGUCAGCGCCAUCGCAACUCCAGCAACGACAGUUCAUCUCCAUGGACUUUAUUCCUUGCACUCUUGAGUCUUUUGAGAAGGAGAAAAUUAUUGUUGGGAGGCAAAAAGACUGAUGAUGAGUUCCUGAAACAGAGUGCAACAGUGAAGAACAAGAGGCCUUUUUUAUUGAUGAGUCGGUCGAAUAGACUGUAGAUGAUUGCCAAAAAGUGGUUAUCGAAGGAUUGGAGUCAAGCUUAGGAUCAGUCUAUCCUAUGGGCCUAUACUACAAUGUUUAUUUGGCUUGUUAGAAUACAUGUAGAAUGAGGUAUUUCUCUCGUUACUUAUUUUGCUAUAGAACCCUGUUGGUUGCAUUCUUGGGUGCUUCGGCAAGCAGCAAUUGCACAAGUUGAUUGUGGUUACUACUUUUGAUUAUAAUUUGCAAGCAGUCCUGUGAGGCCAUUGUGGCAUGUGCUUAGACUUCUAUUGAUGUGUAGUGCAUCAACCGACAUAGGAGAAAUCAGGUUCAUAGAUGGGUGCUUUAUGCUGGGGUGAAAGAGUUUUAGGCCGUUGAUUUCCCAAUGAAGGAGCUUCGAGACAAGCGCUGCAAUUAUGUAGUUUUGUAUAUGACAUAAUCUGUACGAACCCUCUCCUUGUUUCUUUUUGCUCUUGGUUUUGCCCCUGUUGAUUAAUGAUGCUACCAAUUAUUCUAGCUAUUUUCAUUGUACCAUGUGCCUAUGAGAUCUGCACAGACAGAAUUCGUGCUGAUUUAUUUAGUGGUGGCACAUAUGACAGCUACAACAGCCUGGUAAUUAGUCCUCAAAUAAGGUAGUUUCCCUCUUCCCUUUACAUAUCAUGGAUAUAUGUGGUGGUUCCUUGCCAUUGCUGAAGGGAGGACUCUAAAUGUAUUUUUGUGUUAUCCCUGAUUAUGUUAAUCAGGCCGUGUAUGUUCUGUUGGUCUAUUUUGAAUUUUCGUUUGUCAACUUUUACAGAAUUUCAAAGAUGUAAUUUUCUCUCAUGUAGUAGCCUCAUUUUUCAUAUAUAUACAAUAGUCUAUUUUCCUUUCUGCAAAUUAGACCAAUAGUCUAUUUUAGUCAACUUAAGGGUAUGUUGAAUAUGACAAUUAAUGAAGAUGGCCAUUCUUGCUGUCGAAAGUACAGAAUCUGACUCAUUUUAAAGUAGUACGUUCUCUUUAUGACAAGACUAAGCUUCUAAUUUAGCAAGUGUUUUACUUCAACACAAAUUGCUGCAGGAAAGAAAGCAUUUUUUUGCAACAAAGCAAGCAUUAAACGAGCUGAAGUGUCUGGAGCAGAAGAGCUUGAAUUUUUUGCAAACGUAAAUUUAAGUACAUUCUCUGCCUUCAUUCACGUAUGUUGCUGACAAGGAUCGGAAAUCUCUGUUCCCCUCGAGGACUGAAAAUUGUCGAAACAGUCAAUUAUAUGGUGUUGAAUUAUUGAAUACUACCAAUUUAUUUGUUAAUGGCCAGUAGAAAAAGGAAGGCAACUUAUUUUUCAAAACUGAUGAGCAAUGAGUGCACUCUACAAGAUUUUCAUGGCAACAAACAUGAUAGACAUCUUGGAUCGGGCCCUUCUUAGACGGACAGACUCAUGAUAAGGUGCAUUAAUUAUGGAUGCCGUGCAAUCAGCAGCCUAAUACAAGGAGGACCCCAUGAAGCAAAGGGGAGAGGACAAUGAUAUGCUCACAUGGGAUCCCUUUCCUUCAGUGUAUUAAACGACAGCUGCUAAUCUCAUGUGGAGGACGCGCAGGGGCGGGCGGUGAGCGAAUUGAAUCUGGGAAUUCACCCAGGGAAGCAACAUAUAAUCUUUUGAUCUUUGUCUUGCCUCCAGUGCAAGUUCAGUUUGUCCAGCAGUGCUCUUGACAAAUUUCUAGAAUGAAGAAUGAAAUACUUGGAGAUAGGCUACCAAUUCGCGUAUCACAUAUAGUAGCAGAGACUCAGCAUGGGGGUCUGCCGCUUGAAGAGAUGCAAAUGUUGCAACUUCACCAGAGGUUCUAUGUUGGAGUUCUGUGUGUCGGUGGUUCAAGUUCACAAGGAUUGGCACCAUGGACUGGAGAAUCGUCGCAACCAUCAUGGACACACCAGGGGCAGGGGCUGCAUGCAGCCAAGUCCGAGGCGGCUGCCAAGAAGACUGGGCUCGAUGUAGUGACCGAGGAGGCGCAUGCCGCAGGAGAAGCCGAUUAUUCUGUUUGCACGACGGGUAUCCAAAAUUCUAAUUCAGACAUUAGUGAUGAUAUAACAAUGCCGUCCGCCAAAUUGUGA
rnacentral:rRNA from 1 species